rnacentral:rRNA from 1 species
GACGAACGCUGGCGGCGUGCUUAACACAUGCAAGUCGAACGGAAAGGCCCUGCUUUUGUGGGGUGCUCGAGUGGCGAACGGGUGAGUAACACGUGAGUAACCUGCCCUUGACUUUGGGAUAACUUCAGGAAACUUGGGCUAAUACCGGAUAGGAGCUCCUGCUGCAUGGUGGGGGUUGGAAAGUUUCGGCGGUUGGGGAUGGACUCGCGGCUUAUCAGCUUGUUGGUGGGGUAGUGGCUUACCAAGGCUUUGACGGGUAGCCGGCCUGAGCGGGUGACCGGCCACAUUGGGACUGAGAUACGGCACAGACUCCUACGGGAGGCAGCAGUGGGGAAUAUUGCACAAUGGGCGGAAGCCUGAUGCAGCAACGCCGCGUGCGGGAUGACGGCCUUCGGGUUGUAAACCGCUUUCGCCUGUGACGAAGCGUGAGUGACGGUAAUGGGUAAAGAAGCACCGGCUAACUACGUG